rnacentral:rRNA from 1 species
CGACGGGGAUUACCGGCGAUGCGAUUUCGGUCAAAUCAAGUGCAAUCUUAGUGGCGGACGGGUGAGUAACGCGUGGGUAACCUGCCUUGCACUGGGGGAUAACACUUAGAAAUAGGUGCUAAUACCGCAUAAGCGCACGGUCCUGCAUGGGACAGUGUGAAAAACUCCGGUGGUGCAAGAUGGACCCGCGUCUGAUUAGCUGGUUGGCGGGGUAAAGGCCCACCAAGGCGACGAUCAGUAGCCGGCCUGAGAGGGUGGACGGCCACAUUGGGACUGAGACACGGCCCAAACUCCUACGGGAGGCAGCAGUGGGGGAUAUUGGACAAUGGGGGGAACCCUGAUCCAGCGACGCCGCGUGAGUGAAGAAGUAUUUCGGUAUGUAAAGCUCUGUCAGCAGGGAAGAAAGCAAUGACGGUACCUGACCAAGAAGCCCCGGCUAACUACGUGCCAGCAGCCGCGGUAAUACGUAGGGGGCAAGCGUUAUCCGGAAUUACUGGGUGUAAAGGGAGCGUAGACGGCUGUGCAAGUCUGGAGUGAAAGGCGGGGGCCCAACCCCCGGACUGCUCUGGAAACUGUAUGGCUGGAGUGCAGGAGAGGUAAGCGGAAUUCCUAGUGUAGCGGUGAAAUGCGUAGAUAUUAGGAGGAACACCAGUGGCGAAGGCGGCUUACUGGACUGUAACUGACGUUGAGGCUCGAAAGCGUGGGGAGCAAACAGGAUUAGAUACCCUGGUAGUCCACGCCGUNAACGAUGAUUACUAGGUGUNGGAGGGUAUGGACCCUCCGGUGCC